GAUGAACGCUGGCGGCGUGCCUAAUACAUGCAAGUCGAGCGAACGGACGAGAAGCUUGCUUCUCUGAUGUUAGCGGCGGACGGGUGAGUAACACGUGGAUAACCUACCUAUAAGACUGGGAUAACUUCGGGAAACCGGAGCUAAUACCGGAUGAUAUUUUGAACCGCAUGGUUCAAAAGUGAAAGACAGUCUUGCUGUCACUUAUAGAUGGAUCCGCGCUGCAUUAGCUAGUUGGUAAGGUAACGGCUUACCAAGGCAACGAUGCAUAGCCGACCUGAGAGGGUGAUAGGCCACACUGGAACUGAGACACGGUCCAGACUCCUACGGGAGGCAGCAGUAGGGAAUCUUCCGCAAUGGGCGAAAGCCUGACGGAGCAACGCCGCGUGAGUGAUGAAGGUCUUCGGAUCGUAAAACUCUGUUAUUAGGGAAGAACAUAUGUGUAAGUAACUGUGCACAUCUUGACGGUACCUAAUCAGAAAGCCACGGCUAACUACGUG
rnacentral:rRNA from 1 species